CCAGAAAGCCACGGCUAACUACGUGCCAGCAGCCGCGGUAAUACGUAGGUGGCAAGCGUUGUCCGGAUUUAUUGGGCGUAAAGCGAGCGCAGGCGGUUCUUUAAGUCUGAUGUGAAAGCCUGGGGCUCAACCGGGUAGGGUCAUUGGAAACUGGAGAACUUGAGUGCAGAAGAGGAGAGUGGAAUUCCACGUGUAGCGGUGAAAUGCGUAGAUAUGUGGAGGAACACCAGUGGCGAAGGCGACUCUCUGGUCUGUAACUGACGCUGAGGCUCGAAAGCGUGGGGAGCAAACAGGAUUAGAUACCCUGGUAGUCCACGCCGUAAACGAUGAGUGCUAAGUGUUGGAGGGUUUCCGCCCUUCAGUGCUGCAGCUAACGCAUUAAGCACUCCGCCUGGGGAGUACGGCCGCAAGGCUGAAACUCAAAGGAAUUGACGGGGACCGGCACAAGCGGUGGAGCAUGUGGUUUAAUUCGAAGAAACGCGAAGAACCUUACCAGGUCUUGACAUCCUUUGACCACUCUAGAGAUAGAGCUUUCCCUUCGGGGUCAAAGUGACAGGUGUUACAUGGUUGUCGUCAGCUCGUGUCGUGAGAUGUUGGGUUAAGUCCCGCAACGAGCGCAACCCUUAUUACUAGUUGCCAGCAUUUAGUUGGGCACUCUAGUGAGACUGCCGGUGACAAACCGGAGGAAGGUG
rnacentral:rRNA from 1 species